UACCGACCACCUUCUUAAUACAAAAGAGAGUACUCCAUUUGGCUCCUGCCUCAUUAAUAAUCAAAUUUUAAAAGUUCUGUGUUUUUUAAUUGGUGCUUUUAGGAUGCUGGUACUGGCACCCACAUUAUAUAACUACACGCUGCAGCCAGGGAACACAGAAGAAGGCAGUACUGAGUACAGAGAGACAUAAAAUGGUGGCGACAGCCAGCCAAUAUAAAAUGGCUGACAGAUUUUUCAGGUUGCUUCCCUGCUGAGCCAUUCAGUGGCAUACCUGAAAGGUACAGAUCAUCUAAAACUUAAAUUGCCAACAAGUACUAAUCCUAGACUAGCUGUUUAUGUAGAUGCAGAUUGGACAGAAGACAGAACAGAUCAUAAAUCCAGUGGAUACCUGCUCUUUUAUGGAGGAGGAGCAAUUAGUUGAUGCAAUCAAAAGCAAAGCACUGUUGCUGUCUCCUCUACAGAAGUGGAAUACACACAUGGACAAAUUUGUUGGUACCCUUACAACUCAUUGAAAAAGUGUUUUAUGCCUCCUGAAAAGUGAUUAAAUGAAAAGCAAUUGCCCCAUGUACACACGUGGACAAACGUAUUGGUAGCCCUCCACGAAGAAAGAAGAACCCACAAUUGUCUCUGAAAUAACUUGAAACUGACAAAGUGGAGUCCUCCUGGGUCUUCUUCCAUUGAGCCCACUGUCACUCAAAAAGCGAUGGAUGGUGCGAUCAGACACUGAUGGACCUUGACCUUGGAGUUCAGCUUAUAUCUCUUUGGAAGUUGUCCUUGGCUUUUUGUCUACCAUUCUCACUGGGGUCAAUUUUCCACUUGCGGCCGCGUCCAGGGAGGUUGGCUACAGUCCCAUGGACCUUGAACUUCUUAAUAAUAUUUGCAACUGUUGUCACAGGAACAUCAAACUGCUUGGAAAUGGUCUUAUAGCCUUUGCCUUUAACAUGCUUGUCUAUAAUUUUCUUUCUGAUCUCCUCAGACAACUCUCUCUUUUGCUUUCUCUGGUCUAUGUUCGUUGUGUUGGAAGUGAAGGACUUUGCACUGUCUCUUGUCUCAGUGACAUAGGAGGACAGACUAGUGAGUCAGAGGGCUAGAGGGUCAAGACAUUGGUUAUCCCUUCUCUACUGCUCUGACACUAUAUCUUUGGAAUGUAGAUUGCUAAUCUUAGGGACUUCCUUCCUUCCAGCCACUUCCUUCCUCUCUCCCUUCUCUUCCUGUUUCUUCUGCCUUGCAACAAGCAAGCAACAAGCAAUCCAUCUGCAUCCAUCUAGCUAGAUAUUGUACUGGUCUGUGACUGUAACAAUAAAGUAAGUGACUGACUGACUGACUGACAGCUAGCUAGCUAGAUUAGGGAUCCUAACUCCUCACUUUCCUGUCUAGAAUGGAGUUCUCUAAUAAAUACCAUAUAUAUUGAUUUGAAACUAUGAACUGGCUCCAAGUUACUUUACUCUCAGCAUACACACAUGCCUAACUAAAUUCCAUUGUGUUGUGCCUCUGUGCCCUCUGCUAUAAUGAAAAAGGGUUUCUCCUACCAGAGAGAAUUCCCAACACGUUGUGGGACAUAUGAUGAUACCAAACAGCAGAGUGACUACUGUUCUCCGUUUAAAUAGACUGAAUGACUGAUUGCAUGAUUGGAGACAUGUGUGAUACUAAUUAAAGAAAACAGCUAAUCUGAAAAAUCACUCUAAUCCAAUUAUUUAUUAUCUUUUCUAGGGGUACCAACAAAUGUGUCCAGACCACUUUAGAAUAUCUUUGUAGAAUAAGCAAUACUUUAUCUCUUUUCACAUUUGCUUUGCUUGACUCGACAUAUCAAAG